GGCGCCGUAGCCAAGUGGUAAGGCAGAGGUCUGCAAAACCUCUAUUCGUGAGUUCGAUUCUCACCGGCGCCU
rnacentral:tRNA from 1 species